UGAAUAUUUCAGAGGUGAGGGAAAUUGUCAAGGAGGACCCAUCCUGUGAUUCCCUGGCAGUGUAUUUCAAGGAAAAAGGCUUUUUCAUCACAGAAAGAUAAAUCUUUAGGACGGUCGGUCCGAUUUUGCCAAGCUUGGUGUCAUCGAAUUCAGAAUUCCGUCUGCAUUCAUGUGACGAGGAGAGAUGAACAGAAGAAGAGAGCAAUGGAAAUGUAGCGCUGAAAAGCCCAACGACACCACAGUGACUGCUCGAAUCGCUGCCUGUCUGGCAGACAUCUCAGCCUGGAUGAAGGAACACCACAUUCAACUCAACUCAGCCAAGACCGAACUCCUUGUCUUUCCAGCCAACCCUGCUGUUGAACAC